rnacentral:rRNA from 1 species
GAUGAACGCUGGCGGCGUGCCUAAUACAUGCAAGUCGAGCGAAUGGAUUAAGAGCUUGCUCUUAUGAAGUUAGCGGCGGACGGGUGAGUAACACGUGGGUAACCUGCCCUUAAGACUGGGAUAACUCCGGGAAACCGGGGCUAAUACCGGAUAGCAUUUUGAACCGCAUGGUUAGAAAUUGAAAGGCGGCUUCGGCUGUCACUUAUGGAUGGACCCGCGUCGCAUUAGCUAGUUGGUGAGGUAACGGCUCACCAAGGCAACGAUGCGUAGCCGACCUGAGAGGGUGAUCGGCCACACUGGGACUGAGACAUGGCCCAGACUCCUAUGGGAGGCAGCAGUAGGGAAUCUUCCGCAAUGGACGAAAGUCUGACGGAGCAACGCCGCGUGAGUGAUGAAGGCUUUCGGGUCGUAAAACUCUGUUGUUAGGGAAGAACAAGUGCUAGUUGAAUAAGCUGGCACCUUGACGGUACCUAACCAGAAAGCCACGGCUAACUACGUGCCAGCCGCCGCCGUAA